GAAAGAAUCAAGAGCUAUGGUGAAUCCCCUUGUCUUAUCAUGGCCUUACACACUCCAGAGAAAGUCAGAAAGGCAAAACGCCCUGGCACUCUCCUUCCCACACACCACUCACCCCCCAAAACCAGCCCACACCUGAAGAUGCGCGCGCACACACGCAUACUGCUCCUACCUUAGAAGAGAACAGGAGGUUCCAAGAAGAGAGAUCGACACGAGCUCCAUUGACCGCAUCCUGGGCUUGGGAUCGCCUUCAUAACGGGAAGACUUUGCCAACGAAGUCACGUGAAUUUAAAAUACCUCAAAUGCUUUUGAAAUCAAACAUCAAGUGGACCUGCGCGGCAGCCCCAGGAGGUGGUGGCAGCCCGGCUGCAGGACGGCCUGCCGGCUGAUGGGACCGGGCCCAGACCCCGGCGGGGACACCCGAGGAGGCCACCGUGCAGAAGUUGGUGACGGUGUGCCUGGACACGGGCCGCCGGAACCUCAUCUCCCUGCUCAACAAGAGCGGAGCUCAAGUCUGUGGACUUGGUGGGGCGCCAGUUCGAGUUCAGCGUAGAUCCUUCCAGAUCAUCCUGGACUCCCUGCUGCUCCUUGGCCAGGGCUCCCCCAGCACGGGCCCGACUGGACACCCGACUGGACAGACGGGAGCUGGACCUGGACUUUGCUGGGCCCUGGGGCACCUGCGGCACCGCCAGGCGCAGCCCGGACAUCCCCGGCGGCGGCCUCCUCCGACCGCCUCCCGGAGCGCGGGUUCGCGCGGCCGGGCCCUGCGAGCGCCCGCACGUGCUCCGCGCCUCCCGCCCCGGGGGCCGCCCGCUGCACCGCCUGGUGACGCGCACCUGCCUGCGGGCUCCGCAGGCGCUGGCUGAGCCGCCGCCGGGCUCCAGGCUAUCCUGGCCUGGCCCUUCCAGGCCCCCACGGGGUUGUGCCUGCCACUGCCAAUGACCACGUGACCCCGUGCAGUGUCUGCUGGCCGGGCCCACUCCCCCUAUCCCUCCUGACCGCCUUGGAACGGACUCGGACCCUGGCCAGAGGGCCUGGGCCUUCCCGGGUUGGGUGGGGCCUGCACUAGCAUGUGGAGGACAGGAGCGAGCGGCACAGCACCGCCACAGGCCUGGGCCUGGGCGGAACAGACCAGGCUCCCCGUGAGGCCCUCUGGGCUUCAGGUCAAGCCAGGGCUCUUGGCGGAUGGGUCCUUCCGUUAUUGUGACGAAUUUCUGGACCCGCAUGAUUUGGGGGGCGGGGAGGAGGCCUGUCUUGGAGGUCAGUUGCCUUCGGGAGACAAAGCAUGCUUGGGGUGGUAGCAUCAAUACCCAUGAUCUUGGGUUGAUUUCUGGGGGCUAGCAAGGGGAUUUUUGGCGAGGGCCAGCCCGCAGUGCUCCCAGCGGGCUCCGAGGGCCUGCAGCCCACACAGUAGCUAAAAUACGCCUUCUAAAGUAAGAAUCAUCAUUUUAACCAUUUGACACAUGAGAACACUGAUCCCAGCGGUGUUACUGAUGGAGACCAAGACAGCACCUGCCCACUGACCCCAUGGUAGGAGCCUCUUGACACGACCCCUAGAGACCCUGCCUCCUGCUACUCAUGCCUCCUGUUGAAUGAACCGGACCUAGUGACUCACUUUUUACAAAUAAAAUGUGGUAAAGUGAUGGGAUGUCACUCUUGAAAUUAGGUUACAAGACUCUGCCUUCUGCCUUACUGGCCCUCUCUGGUUCUGUCUCGCUCUUUUUUGCUCACUCUGAGAGAAGCCAGCUAUCGUGUUGUGACCUUCCCAAUGAGGAGUUGCACAUAG
ensembl:lncRNA